rnacentral:tRNA from 1 species
GCCUUCGUGGUGUAGUGGUCAGCACGAUGGAUGCUUAUUCCCGAGGUCGGUGGUUCGAGUCCCGGCGAAGGCG